rnacentral:tRNA from 1 species
GCGGGCGUAGCUUAAUGGUAAAGCUCCAGCCUUCCAAGCUGGUAACGUGGGUCCGAUUCCCAUCGCCCGCUCCA